ensembl:lncRNA
CUGACUAGUGGUGGCUAUUCAGCAGCCUGAUGUUCUGUGGGUAAAAGCUGUUGGUCAGUCUGACAGUUUUUGACAUGAUGCUCCUAUACUACCCGCAUCUGAGGGAUGGAAGCAGGGGGAAAAGGCCGUGGGAAAAGGCCGUGGCAUGGGUGGCUUUGGUCCUUGACAACCAAACAAAGAUUUGAAGAAUCAAAGUGGUUGAGUGGUCAAGAACCACUGUUCUUGUUUCGACUGUCUGAACCCUCUCUCCUCCAUCCUCAGAGUUUAAGGAUUAAGAGGCAGAAGAAAUUCAGGAAUGAAUGUAAGAAAAACCUGGAAAUGUGUCGCUCCCGCCUAGGAGCCUUGACAACCAUGAGUCAUCCUGUGGGCAGUUGGGUAAAACACCACCAAACACCAACCAAAGAGGUUAGUUCACGGAUUAAGAGUCGGGAGAAAGUCAGGAGCCAAUGUCAGCCAGUAAAAGCCAUGAAUCUGUCACUCCCGCUUAGGAGAGGAGCGCUCCUUCCAUGCACCUCCCCAUUGGUGGUCCAGGACUUAAAGGCAGGAGAGGCAGAAGAAAGCCAAGAACAAGAACAAGCAAGAACAUACCACAAAGUGGGUGGUGUCGCAAUUGGCUUGGGUUCCAUCUUGAAGGCAGCCCAAUAGCUGCUGAAGACAUAAUUAUCUAUUCGCUACUGGAUUAUCAAUACCAAUAAUAACUACAGUGUAUGUUGGUAUUUUAUUUCUCUGUAUGCAUUUAGACUGCAAAACUAUGUAAAAAAAAGGUCUUUGCAAAUGAAAUUGACUCUUGUUAUUAUUGUAUUACUAUAAUCAUUAGUAGUAGUUGUCAUGGUCGCCUCUGUAGGUUACAAAAUCACAUAUUAAACCAAACCAACAGCCAGGGAAGCCAAGAUCAACUCCCUCUUGUCUGACAAGCUGUUCCAAUAAGAAAGUAUAUUACUCAAUCCAAUGGAGGCUCUUCAGAUGAGGAAAGAGGGGACCAUCCUCCUCAGUGAAUUUCAGAAAAAUAAAAUUGGUGAAACAUUUAAAAAGUGAUACUUGUUUUGUAGAUACAAUUAUACUAAAUAUAUUCACAUCACCAAAUAAUUGAUUAAAACACACUGUUUAGAAAUGAAGGUCUACAGUAGCCAACAGCACUCUGUAGGGUUGCACCGUGGUGUUGCUGGAGGACAACUAGUUUCCUCCUCUGGAUACGUUGACUUCGAUACAAAACCUAGGAGGCUCAUGGUUCUUAACCCUUCGCAUAGACUUACACAGUAAUUAUGAGAACUUUCGGAGGAAAUCCUCCAACCUAUCAGAGCUCUUGUAGCAUGAACUGACAUGUUGUCCACCCAAACAAAGGAUCAGAGAAUUAAUCUAGUAGUGAAAGCAUAAGCUACAGCUAGCUAGCACUGCAGUGCAUAAAAUGUGUUGAGUCGUUGACUCAAAGAGAGAAAGACAAUAGUUAAACAGUUUUGAACAAAUCAUUUUCUUCAAAAAUUAAGAAGCAAAAGAGGGAGCGAGAGAGAGCUGGCUAAACUUCAUAGUGUUUUUUUUCCACUUACUUAGCCAGCGAAUGCAGCUAGCCUACUUAGUUUAGCCUACUCAAACACCCGGCUCAAACAGAAAGGGAUACUAUGUUAGCUAGGUGGCUAUGGCUAUCCAACACUGGAAAUCUUCCAAGUCAAGGUAAGUUUUUGGUUUUCUAAAUGUAUUGCCACCGGGGCCCGCUGGUGUAACUGCUAAACUGCUUGCUGAGUGUACACUGUACUACAUGAUUGUAGCGGGUUUACUAACGCACUACUUCUAGUAGCUAUGUUGACUAUGACGUUAGCUAAUAUGGAGACCAUUUUCAGGGUUCCCCAACCAAAUUUGGCCCAAGGGUGGUUUUACUUGGCCACCCAAGUUUUCUGAGUAAAAAAAAAAACACUUUAAAAAAUGUCAUAAUAAUUGUUGUACAUAAGAAUGUAAAAACACCAGAAAAUCAGCUCUAAGUGAUUUUAAUUUAUUAAAUCUGAUCCCAAGUCUUCACAUGCAUAAUAGAGACACAUGAUCAUACACAAAUGUAAGCAAGAUUUGAAAUUAUUAUGUUUUAGUCAAACAUAUCUGGUUGGGCUUCUUGCUGUCAAUUUGCAGUCUACACAUUUAUUUAUAAUUAUGUUCCGGGCCCCCGACCAUCCGCUCAAGAAGAAAAUUGCCCUGCGGUUUAAUCUAGUUGAAGUCCACAAGCGAAGAGAAAAGGUGAGAGGAGGUGCGAGGAGGAAUUAUUUAUACAACGAGCAAGUUGAUCAUGCUGUUUGUAUGUGGCUACUAUGAAAUGGAACUGUGUUUGCGUGUGAUCAGGGUGUAUUCAUUCCACCGAUUCUGUUGAAAAACUUUUCUUAAACGGAAACAAAUGGAACGAAGUGGGGAUAAACAUACCUGAAUCUAUACAAUAGAAACUCUUGUUUGCAACUGUUAGACAAAUGAUUACACUCUAGAUCAGCUAGAUGCAGCCAAGAGUGUGGAAGGCUGUAUUGAAUGUGUCUGUCACCUUGAUUACAAUUCUUUUUUUAUCUCGACCUGUGCACCUACGUUGUAAGCUUUAAUUCAUAGGCCCGUAGCACUCACUUCCGUCAUCAUGAAGUGCUUUGAGAGACUAGUCAAGGACCAUAUCACCUCCACCCUACCUGACACCCUAGACCCACUCCAAUUUGCUUUAAUUCAUAGGCCCGUAGCACUCAGCUCCCUAUUCCGUCAUCAAGAAGUGCUUUGAGAGACUAGUCAAAGACCAUAUCACCUCCACCCUACCUGACACCCUAGACCCCUCCAAUUUGCUUUAAUUAUAGGCCCGUAGCACUCACUUCCGUCAUCAUGA